CCCUUAGAUGUCCUGGGCCGCACGCGCGCUACACUGAGUGUCUGAGAUACGAGUCUGCCUGGUCCGGCAAGGUCUAGGUAAUCGCUAAAAGACACAUCAUGCUUGGGAUAGAUUAUUGCAAUUGUUAAUCUUGAACGAGGAAUUCCUAGUAAACGCGAGUCAUCAGCUCGCAUUGAUUACGUCCCUGCCCUUUGUACACACCGCCCGUCGCACCUACCGAUUGAAUGGUUCGGUGAAGAUCUCGGACUUCGAUAUUUAUUCUUUAUUGAGUUUAUAUUGUGGGAAGUUAUCUAAACCUCAUCAUUUAGAGGAAGGUGAAGUCGUAACA
rnacentral:rRNA from 1 species